UUCACUUCCGAUUUCCCAACCUAUCUGUACGUAGACUUGUUUGUUCUCUUCUUCUUUUCGAUUCGUCGGUUUGCUUUUUCUUUUAUCCCUACUGAUUUAAUACCGUAUUAUUUGAUAUCAUGAUAACGACGAUUCAGAUCAUCGAGUGCUUUUUCUGCAGCUCUUUCUAUUAUUUCUUUAUUUUUCUAACUGAGCUCCUGAAUUAAUUUGCACGGUCAUUCGAGGCUCCGGGUAAAACAUGGGGAAAUAAAUCGAAUUUUCAUCAUGCGUGUCUUCUAACAGCUGAUUUGUGGACAACCAAAAAGAACCACUAGUUGGCGAGUGCCAGACAUUAGGUCAAAACUUCGAUCUGCGAUUUAGUUCUCAAACCAACGAUCUCUUCAUAGAUAUGGUGUGACAAUUACCAUUUGAUUUUCCUGGAGCCUACUUAAUAAAUUUUAUUUUAGGGGUGGGGGUUGGGUUUGGAUGGUUAACCUAAGAAUUAAAUUGGAAGAACUAGAGAUAAGAAUAUACAGGCCCGCACAAAGUAUGUGGGUACCCUCAAUGGUCCGAUGGAGUAGGCAGAACACAUGACAAAGGUUAAAGACGAUGAUACUCGGCUGUAAUGGAAUAGAUAACUGAUAACCCAUGACAAGUAAUCCAAUACUUAGUUGACCAACUGCACCCUUUUGUGAGGAUCUCAGCGUUCUCUAAAACGGGAUUUUCCUGGAGGUGGGCAAGGACUGGAUAUGUAUAAUGAGAUGAGAGAAUUUGCAUGCACAAAGUAUGUGGGUACCCUCAAUGGUCCGAUGGAGUAGGCAGAACACAUGACAAAGGUUAAAGACGAUGAUACUCGGCUGUAAUGGAAUAGAUAACUGAUAACCCAUGACAAGUAAUCCAAUACUUAGUUGACCAACUGCACCCUUUUGUGAGGAUCUCAGCGUUCUCUAAAACGGGAUUUUCCUGGAGGUGGGCAAGGACUGGAUAUGUAUAAUGAGAUGAGAGAAUUUGCAUGGGCAUCUCUUCUCCUUUUUUCAUUGAUCUAAUGAGUCCCCUUGCACUAUGAUGUACAACCUGGCUGAAAUCUCUACGAAUGCAAGGUCACAGGCUCAUAGCAUGGUGAAAGAUUAUCUUGGAUUCCUGUUGGAGAAACAAAUUGAGCUUCACUCAUCCUGCAGGAGGGAUCACCAUAUUGAGCCCCAAUUAUAUUGAAGGCUGUAAGAUUAGUAAUGACUUAGUUUCUUUGCGACUCACAACAUCUGGAUGAAUUAUUUUGUGAAUUCCUAUUGGAUAUUGAGCCCCAAUUACAUUGAUGGUUGUAAGAUUAGUAAUGACUUAGUUUCUUUGCGACUCACAACAUCUGGAUGAAUUAUUUUGUGAAUUCCUAUUGGAUAAUUGCUUUACUUCCACUAAUAUCCUGGAUGCAUGAUACUCCAAAAAUCUGGAGUCUGGUUGGACUCUUCAUUUUUUUUUUUUCCUUGUCGAUUCAACUCAUAAAUCAUCUGGAGCUUGACCUUGCAAUGGACUUAUGAUUUGGAAAUAUCAAGGUAUUUUGUUAGUUUUUUAUAGUUCUAGGUUUUCGCAAAUUUCAAUGGUUUCAAGUUUUUCGACCCACCCAGAGAUUUCCAAGUUUCGGAAAUUUUUACCCAAAUUCUAGAAUUAGCCCAAAAAAUCUGGUUUCGACCAGGUUUUGGAAAUUUUGAACCUCGUCCUUGUGUAGGUUAGCAUGUGUGAGGGAACAAUAACCAGUGGUAAAUGGACAAAUUUCCAUUUACUCUAUUUCCGCUACAUCAAGGCUCGAUAUGAUCAACUUCUUUCUGCAUUGGGCAUGGAUAGGCGAAACUACACAGGGAAGUUUCUUGUGGAAAUUAGCAUAGGUUGUUAGUAAAUGUCAGUUUGUCACAAUUUUUUGAUUGAGAAGAGUCUUUAGGGAUGGGAUGCAAUGCUACAACUAUGAAGGGACUCUUCAGUAUCUUAGGGUUUAAAAGCAAAAGAAAAAAAAAAAUAAAAUGUAUAGGGGGUAGAUUUAUAAUGCUUGCAUAUAAAUGAGGGAAUACUUGGGAUACUGCCAAUAUAUAUCCGAGUGCGACUAUUUUUCUGUCAAAUCUGUUUUUAUUAUCCAUAGGAGAGCGAGAAUUGAAGCAUAUGUUGCAUGUAGAGUUAGAUUGGGUGGUGAGGUGGAGAAUGAUAUAGCAUACUUCUUGGAAGUUGGAACAGAAUAUUCAAAACACCAAGAACAAUAUAUUUGUCAGAAUGAGUAUAGGGAUGAGGAUGUUGGGGCUGAUGAUGGGCAAGAUUCUGGAAGAUAUUAGGAAGUAAGUUACAAUGAGGAAAUUCAGGGUAGUUAGAAUGGGCGAGAGGAUGGAAACCGCACAAAAUAUGGUUUGAUCAUGGCCAACAAAAAGAUCAAUGCUCGUGCUAGUGAGAGAGCUUUUUGGUGCAAGUUGAAGGGCACUAAAA